CCUGAUCCCAUUGAUGUAUGUAGUUGAUCGCAGCCAUUUGAAGAGAGCCCAGGUGAAACAGGGUCAAUGUUUUACAGCCCAAGGUAAGACAACCAGAAGAGAAGAAAUAGGUGUUCAUGGAAACUGAGGGGAGAAUAUUCAGGUCACAAACUUCAAGUUGAUCCAGCAAGAAUUUCUGCAAUUUUGAGGCCUUGAAAACUUCAUCCAGAUUUUAUUCUUUUGAAAUAAUGGCAUAUUUGAUUAAUAUGGGUAUAAUAAAAUAUGCUUCCU
rnacentral:lncRNA from 1 species